rnacentral:pre_miRNA from 1 species
GUGAGUCGGGAAGAGGAAGAAAAGAGGGUCUAAGAGCAGUGGGCAUGGGAACAUGGAGGAAGAACAUGUACUUUUCUUCCCUCUAAAUUUAGAGGUUGAGAUUUGCUAAGCAUUUUUCCCAAUGCCUCCCAUGCCUACAGUUCUUAGGUACUCCUUCCCCUUCCUGUUGGCUUGC